rnacentral:rRNA from 1 species
UACGGAGGGGGCUAGCGUUGCUCGGAAUCACUGGGCGUAAAGCGCACGUAGGCGGCUUUCUAAGUCAGGGGUGAAAUCCUGGAGCUCAACUCCAGAACUGCCUUUGAUACUGGAGAGCUUGAGUUCGGGAGAGGUGAGUGGAACUGCGAGUGUAGAGGUGAAAUUCGUAGAUAUUCGCAAGAACACCAGUGGCGAAGGCGGCUCACUGGCCCGAUACUGACGCUGAGGUGCGAAAGCGUGGGGAGCAAACAGG